AGAUCCUCCUCUUUUGGGUAUCUUCUAGUGAGCUCAACCCAAGGACACUAAUAAUAUGUAUCACUGGAGACACAUACUGUCAUUUGAUCGGCCAUAGCUGAUGACACUGCUGUAACUUUCAGUUUGUAUAGUGUUCAAAAAUGUGCCUACAUGUACAGUGAGGUUCUCCAAGACCUCAGACUCCUUCUUGGCCCUUUGCCAGACUCCUUCCAGUGUGUCGAUGUCUCUUGCACUGGGGAGCCCAGCAGUGCGCACAGCGCUCCAAACGUGUCUCACCGGGGCUGAGCAGAAGGGAAGGAUCAUCUCUCUCAACCUGCUGGCAAUGCAUCCCAAGGGGCUGAUAGUUUGUUGUUGGUGUUGUUGUGAUGAUACAUGACUGGCUCAUAGAAACAUAUCACAGAAUUAUAGAAUGGCUUGGUUGGAAGGAACCUACAAACCCAUCCAGUUCCGUCCACUCUGCUGUGGUCAGGGCUGCCACCCACCAAGUUGGGCUGCCCAGGGCUUCAUCCAACCUGGCCUUUAAUGCCUCCAAGGAUGGGGCAUUCACAACUUCUCUGGGCACCCUGUGCCAGUGCUUCUGCACACCCUGAGGAAAAUUUUCCCUGUAAUAUCUAACCCUUUCUAAUAGAUCUCCUUUCUUCCAAAUGAUUCUCCCAUGUCUCCCCCAUGUCCUUUCAUCCAGAUGAUGUAAAAAGUUGGCAUCCAUCUUG